GACGAACGCUGGCGGCGUGCUUAACACAUGCAAGUCGAACGGAAAGGCCCCUUUGGGGGUACUCGAGUGGCGAACGGGGGAGUAACACGUGCGUAACCUUCCCUUGACUUCGGGAUAACUUCAGGAAACUGGGGCUAAUACCGGAUAGGAAUCCUUGCUGCAUGGUGGGGGUUGGAAAGCUUCGGCGGUUUUGGAUGGACUCGCGGCUUAUCGGCUUGUUGGUGGGGUAGUGGCUUACCAAGGCUUUGACGGGUAGCCGGCCUGAGAGGGCGACCGGCCACAUUGGGACUGAGAUACGGCCCAGACUCCUACGGGAGGCAGCAGUGGGGAAUCUUGCACAAGGGGCGGAAGCCUGAUGCAGCAACGCCGCGUGCGGGAUGACGGCCUUCGGGUUGUAAACCGCUUUCAGCAGGGGCGAAGCUUGUGGUGACGGUACCUGCAGAAGAAGCACCGGCUAACUACGUG
rnacentral:rRNA from 1 species